ACGUUUGAUUAUAGAAACUAUGUUAAUGUUUCGAAAAACAUUAAAUACAAGAAUCGUCGUUCCUAAUUUUUUGUUUUGUUUUUUUUUUUUUUUUUUGUAAAUUCGUGUACGGUAUUUAGAACGAACGACAUGUAGGAUUUUCGACAGGAUCAAAAUUUAAGACGUACUUACGUAAACGCCGAAUCGUUAUUUUCCUUCUUAAGCUCACAUUCGCAUCACGUUUUUCUCUUGUUUGUUGCUUUUAUAUCGUUGACAAUGAAAUACUUGUUUUACGUCGAACGAAAUGCAUCGAAAACUAUAUUUAUCUGGGUUUUGGUCGAUAUCAGUGCAGAAACUUCUCGAAUUACAAUGCUUGUGUUGGUGGGAUUGGGGGAGGGGGGGAUAUCGAUCCUUACCAACGAGGUGGAUUAAGAGAGAAAAAGAGAGUAUCUAAAAUGAAACCGUUGAAAAAGGAAAAAAGAAAAACAAAGAACUAAAAACAUACAAUUACACGUAAAAUUAUGGCUUCGCCGUGCAACCCAUACUACAUACUCAACUCGAGUUGAGUUAUGAACCAAUAUCCUUGGAUGUAAGUGGAUAUCGUAUAUGGUCGUAGUAUUAUAUGUACAACAUGGACUGUGCUUGGCACGAUCUUAAUGACUCUUAAUCUCAAGGACCAACGGCGAUAUCGAGAAACGCAAUACUAAAGUGCAAUACGGCGAGUUGAUAUAUUUAUAAUAUAUUUCUUCGUAGCAUUCUGGCUUAUAAAAAAAUAUUUUUUAUCGAGAUACGAGUUAAGAAGAUUAGAAAUGUAAGUUUGAACUUAUGAAUUGGGUUGAUACAAUCUCAUGAUUUGAUGCAAUGCACAAAUUACAAUCGCAAUCUUGUACGCAUUCCAUAAUAAAUUUCUCGUAUUAGUUUCUUUUCUCGGA